ACUACCUCUUCUUAUUUCCGAAUCCAUACUGCUCCCAAUUUCAUUCAUCUUCUGGUCCUUCUCCCUCCUUCCUUCCUCCGUCUCUCCACCCUCCACCACAUCCUCCCCUCCUUCUCCUUCUUGCGACAACACAACUGCUUCCUCGAAUAGUACUUGACUCCCCUCUUCAUCCAUAACCUCUCCACAGUUGCACUCCGCCAAUCUCUUUCUGCAUCCACCACAAAUUCCUUUCCUUCUCUCCGACACAUUCUCUCGCAUAAUGGCCUUGAUUGCCACACUUGAAACACUUAAAUUCAGGGUAGUCUUUAACUAUGUGCCAGGGUUGAAUAUACAAACGACACACUCUGACCUGUUUGUCAUGAAUUACCCUGAAGUAUUCUGCUCCCUCCAGCGUCUCAAUUCUCGUGGAAUAUGGCAAUGAUGUAACUUUUUCUGUGAACUUGACCUUGCAAAAUCGUGUCCCGUCAACCACCUCCGUUCCUGGCCAAACUCUCCUCCUUAUCUCCGAGACGGCCGUUACUCCCCAGCUACUCAGCUUGCCCAGUAUCACACUAUCUUCUACGUAUACUGGGAGAUUCAUGAAAGACACCACCAAUUCUUUCACAUUCAUAUCUCUCGCCAGAAUCCUGGUGUCCUUUAUCCGUAAUCCAUCCAUUAGAUGUUUUUUUUCUUUUUCGUUUCUCAUCGUAAUUUCAUACUUCUUAUCCCCUUUCAUUCGGCAUCCCACCACCUCUCCACACCUCCUUAAUUGCUCGUAGUAGUUCCAUUGUCGUCACUUUGUCUUCUCCUUCCAACUCAAUUGCCACCGUGUAUUCUUUUCCAUAUUUCAUUCCUUCUUUAUCUUCAUUUUUCUUCUGUUUCGCAUUUUCAUUGUCCUUUUCCGUUUGUCGUUUCCAUGUUGUCCGUCAUAGUAAUUCAAAAGAUGAAUCCGAAAAAAACUCUCCCCCAAGCAGCAAAACUGCAAGGAGGGAAGACUAACCAAACUUAAAACUAUUCAACUGAAAAAACAAAAAAUGAUAUUGCAAAAUGCAAUUAAUUAACAAAAAUAGCUCUCGAGCAAACACUCUCCAGCAAACCCUCACUCACAGCUCAGACACUCACUCGCACCUGUCGUCAAUUCUCCAAUCAGGAUGGGCGUAUUCAGGCUGGUAUGGCCGUAAGCGAAGGAGCAACUCUUGGUACACCAUAUAAAGUCAAAGUGAGUUUGAUAAACAGACACUGCAAUUUCACCAAUUAGAUAAGCAGCUUGAACUUUGAGUCAAUCAAAAAGUGGAAGAAAUUACAUUUACUGUAGCGUCAAAUGCUUACGACAAGGCAGUGUUUCUGAUGAAAUAAUGCAAGAGCACACCUUAGUGGAAAAAAUGCUUACAUACCUUAAGGGAACAUUUUAGCAUUUGUCGUAUGGUUAGUGAAAAAAGUACCGAUGCAAAUGUAUGGUCCCCUACUAGACGUCCGGCGACGUUUCUAAAAAAUCGCGGACGGUGUCGGGCCGUAGGCGGGGGAGAUCUUUCAGGAAGUCAUCGAAGAAAAUGUCUCGGACGUUCGGUUUCCGUUUUAAAAUAAUAACACAUUUUGGACAUGUUUCCGCAUUCUCAAAUUCCCACGAGGGAAAAUAAAUGAUAUGGCAAACGCGCGUGGCCUUUUCUCCUAAACGGAAAAUAUUCCGAAGACAACUUGGCGAGCGUAGGUUUGGAGUAAUGGGCAGUUGGCCCCGAACAAGAUGGUGUCGAGUUAUGGCCAUUUUUCUGGGAUUAAAGGUCAAAAACGCAAAGUAGGCUGCUAAUUUGACCGCUUCACGUCAAAGUACAUAAGCAUACAGUGUCAAAAAAGAACCAGCCAUUUAUCUAUCGUAAUUUAAGAGAAAUCGUACAUUGACCGUUUGGUGAUGUUCACAAAGGAAUAUUUUUUUUAAAUAAUUCACAGAUCCAGUUGCAUUUUGUUCAGAUGAACAUUUUUAAAGUGUGUCUCGAAGCUCUGCGAGAAUUCUGUGAUUUUAUGAAAUAACACACUCAUUUAACCCUCUUUAAAUAAGUCAGUUCUUAACAUAAAGACUUAACUCAAUAUUAUAUAAGAGCCUACCACAAGGAGGGUGUGUUCACUUUCAGCUUCCUAUGUCAACUGGAAGUACCUUAAAAUGGUGCCAUAGGGUAAGGUUUGAAGGGUAAUAAAGGUCAGAUCUUUUCACAACUUCACUUGUGUGAUUAGACAACCCUCAUGAACUGUAAUCAGUCAUUUCUCCCAACGGAUGUCAAAGAAAAUCACUCUCACACAAACACACACAAAAAGCAAGGAUGGAGUGAAAAAGUACGGUGCUUAAAGACAAACAAAGCCUGCAAUGGCAUUCCUAUUAUCUCCAGGCCGUGCCGAGUUCAACGAGAUGCCCUGCUUGACCGUAGCUCAUUCGGUCUGACCGGUGACAGCAGAAAAGUCAUCUGUAGCUCACUGAGCAUUAUUAAAUGGAAAAACAGUCUGGUCAUGUGCUGACAGCAUGGGAGGAGUUUGGGGGGUUGUUUAAAAGGAGAAGAGUUUUUUUUCUUUUCUUUUUUCUAAUAGACUGCAUUUCACCUGGGGCUGACAAUCAGAGGAGUGCAGGUUGUUGUAAGAAGGAUAUUCUAGAGUGGUGAGGAGUGUUUUAUGAGUAUCAAUUAAGCAGCCUGAAAGUACUUUAUGUAUUGCUUAAGGGAUUGUGUUACGUUUUUUAUUUACUGUUUUUUUUUUUCUUCUCACUUUUCAAUAGCAUAGAAUAGUAUAGAUGGCUCCUGUGCGCUCAUGUCCAAUUUGCUAUAAGGUUGUGAUUGGCUUCAUUCAGCACCUUAUGUAUGUACACCAUGUGAGCAACAGUGAAGAAAGGAUACUCCUUUGUAAUUGGCAGUCGGGCCGUGUCAAUGUCAGGCAGGAGCAGUGUCCAGUCUUAGGCUGCUCCCCACAUCUCAGCAGACUAGACCGGCAUAUGGACACCCACUCAGAGCUCAACAGAGGAGACAGGUUUUAGACGACCUUAAGAGACGGCUGGCGGCAUUGAGGGCAUUGAUCCCUGCCAUCCCACUGGCGACAGAUUUUGAUAUUGUGGAGACUAAGGGAAGAGGAGGCAAUGUUAUUUUCACAAACAGAAGCAGAGGAGGAAGUGGACUGCAAAGAGGAUUCCUGCCACUGCCUGAGACUGAAGAAAACUGUGCAAGAGCGGGAUUAUGCACUGACAAUGAGAAGUGAGACCAACAAAUCACUUAAAGAGGACAACCUGAAGUUGAUCUCUGCACUACCUAGAGUGAGGAAGAAGAACCAACUGCUGAAAAGGCAGAUGGGGAUUGCCAGUGUGAGUCCGGCAAAGAAGGCCCGCAACUUUCAGGCAGACACAGACACAAUAGAGGAGCUGCAGCAGGACCAAGCGACAGGUUCAGGGGACCAGAGAGGAGCCUACAGUGUCAGGAUCUAGCUGCAAACUCAUCUUCCCGGGCUCUGCUAUGAGCGUGUUUAUCGAGGGAUUCAAGAAGACCUGUGAAGGCCCCAAUCCAAACUAUAAGCUAAGAGAAGAUUGUGCCUCAAAGGUCAAGAGGGUGACAAUUUCUUAACUACAUGGCGAAGAAUGAGGCCUACCAGUCCUCUCAUUUUCCUGACAGACCAUGACAAAAUAAGGAAAUGGGUUCAAUUCCUCCAGAAGAACAAGGCAAUCACCACAGUCAACUACUACACCUUGACUAUUGGUGCAUUUCUAAAAUAUUCUGAGACCCCUCCACCUGGCUGCCGGCUGACCGUGAACCAGUGGAGGGGGAUCAACCGGUUGAAGGGCAUUAGCAGGUCCAUGAGACGGCCAGUUUCCCUUCACCAGGUAAAGGUGAAGGACAACAAGGAAGGCAAGGUGGUGUCCAAGAAGAGCCUGCUGGAGUGCCAGUCUCUUGCCAAGGCAAAAAUCCCUGAAGUGCUGAAAACAUUUGAAGAAAGAAGAACACAGAGGAAUCAGUACCGGUGUGCCUAUUUUACCUCUAUAUAUGGCCACAGACCAGGCCUGUAUAAAAACAUGUUGGUGAAAGAGGUGGAGGAGGCUAAUUGUGACCAGUCUGAGGUGUAUCUGAUCAAUGUGGGGGAACACAAAACGAACAGAGAGUAUGGCAUGGUCCAGAUGUCGCUGAAGAAGUAGGAGUAGAGUUGGUUUUCAGACUUCCUGAAAUUCAAACACUGUCUCUCAGGGGGAAAGAAGGCCCGGCACUUUUUCAAUUCCACGAACACGCAGAUGAAGAACCUGCCUACCUACCUGAGGGAGGUGUGGAAGGAGAUGGGUCUGCCCGAAUGUCCUUCCUUCACAGACCUGCGGACCUCCAUUGUCACUCAUGUAAAAAACAUGCUCCCGAAAAUUGACAGGGAAAGGGUGGCCAACUUCAUGUGCCACAACAUCCAGACGGCAGACAAAUAUUAUGCCAUGAAUUUAAAUCCGUCCCAAGCCAAUUAUACCAGGGCACUCUGAGGCUGCAUUGAAGGGGGAAGAUAACGCAGUCGCCGCAGUGAACCAGCUCUCCACUUCAGGAAAAAUAACGCAGAAGGUGAGAGAGGACGCCUCCCUCUCCGAGGGGAGCACCACCUCUGAAGAGACAAAGGUGAUGUACCAGGAGUCUGGCACGUCCGCCGGCAACUCGGAGUAGGAGGAAAAGGAUGAAGAUGAGGAACAGAUGGCCAGACAACCUCCAGUGGAGAUGGAAAACACCCCAAAGAGGAAGAGGAUCACCAGGCGCCGCAUGGUGGUCGCCAUCAGCCCCAUGCGACUCUUACCCCUCAAAAUGAAGAACAAGUCGCCCCACCUCUCCCCCAUUGUCACAUUGAUAGGUAUGCGCAAACUGAACUCGAACAAAUCCCGACUAAAAAAUGCCAUUGCUGCAGGAGAAGCGAGGGAAGCCCUGAUGCAGCUCGAAGGAAGGCGAGCCGACCAACAACAGGACUUCCUCUUCCGAAUAUUCCUAUAGAUUGUUAGACUAAUUUUACACUGUUCUCAUUUUGUUUGGUGUGCUUGUUCAAAUUUUAGAAGUGUAAAAUGUGUGUAAUUUAGUCUGUUCAAAUUUCUAUUUUGGUGUGAUUGUUUAUAAUGUAAA